CCUACGGGCGACAGCAGUGGGGGAUAUUGCACAAUGGGGGGAACCCUGAUGCAGCGACGCCGCGUGGGUGAAGAAGCGCCUCGGCGCGUAAAGCCCUGUCAGCAGGGAAGAAAAUGACGGUACCUGAAGAAGAAGCCCCGGCUAACUACGUGCCAGCAGCCGCGGUAAUACGUAGGGGCCAAGCGUACUCCGGAUUUACUGGGUGUAACGGGGGCGCAGACGGCGAUGCAAGCCAGGAGUGAAAGCCCGGGGCCCAACCCCGGGACUGCUCUUGGAACUGCGUGGCUGGAGUGCAGAAGGGGCAGGCGGAAUUCCUGGUGUAGCGGUGAAAUGCGGAGAUAUCAGGAGGAACACCGGUGGCGAAGGCGGCCUGCUGGACUGCAACUGACGUUGAGGCCCGAAAGCGUGGGGAGCAAACAGGAUGAGAUACCCUGGUAGUC
rnacentral:rRNA from 1 species